rnacentral:rRNA from 1 species
GACGAACGCUGGCGGCGUGCUUAACACAUGCAAGUCGAACGAUGAAGAAAAGAAUUGAAGCUUCGGCAGAAAUUCAUUUCGGAUUAGUGGCAGACGGGUGAGUAACGCGUGAGCUACCUACCUCUUACAAAGGGAUAGCCUCGGGAAACCGGGAUUAAUACCAUAUAACAUUGCGACGAAGCAUUUCGAUGCAAUCAAAGCUACGGCGGUAAGAGAUGGGCUCGCGUCCCAUUAACCAGAUGGUGAGGUAACGGCUCACCAUAGUAACGAUGGGUAACCGGCCUGAGAGGGUGAACGGUCACACUGGAACUGAGACACGGUCCAUACUCCUACGGGAGGCAGCAGUGGGGAAUAUUGCACAAUGGAGGGAACUCUGAUGCAGCGACGCCGCGUGAGUGAUGAAGGAAUUCGUUUCGUAAAACUCUGUUCUAUGGGAAGAAAAGGACUGUACCAUAGGAGAAAGCUCCGGCUAAAUACGUG